rnacentral:lncRNA from 1 species
AGAUAAGAGGGGAGGACUCUGGAACUUUAUUGCCUUUGGGUUGUAGACCUCUAGUCGAUGCCCCACCACUGCCUUUUCCUUCGGACUGUAAGGGCUUGAACAAUCUCCAUCACCUCUAGACUAUAAGGGCUCGAAUGAUCUCUAUCACCCACUACUGUGGUUGAGCUCCAUGGCCUCGAUAUUGUCUCCAGAAUAGUGGUGGUGCAAAGAAGAAGGAAAGGGAGGGGAACAGAAAAUCCUAACCAUGGUCUACCAUGGGGUAUGAGAUGGGUGGGAUCGAGAGAAUUGGGAAAAAGGCACGGUGUGCGGCAUAGGCCG